GGGUAUAUAGCUCAGUGGUAGAGCGCGUGCUUAGCAUGCAGGAGGUCCUGGGUUCAAUUCUUGGUACCUCCU
rnacentral:tRNA from 1 species